GACGAACGCUGGCGGCGUGCUUAACACAUGCAAGUCGAACGGAAAGGCCCUGCUUUUGUGGGGGGCUCGAGUGGCGAACGGGUGAGUAACACGUGAGUAACCUGCCCUUGACUUUGGUAUAACUUCAGGAAACUGGGGAUAAUACAGUAUAGGAGAUUCUGGUGCAAGGUGGGGGGUGGAAAGGUUCGGCGGGGGGGGGUGGUCUCGGGGCUUGUCAGAUUGUUGGUGGGGUAGUGGGUUACCCAGGCUUUGGCGGGUAGACGGCCUGAUAGGGUGAGCGGCCACAUUGGGACUGAGAUACGGCCCAGACUCAUACCGGCGGCAGGCGGGGGGAAUAUAGCACAAUGGGUGGAAGCCUGAUGCAGGAACGCCGCGUGCGGGAUGACGGCAUUAGGGUUGUAAACCGAUUUCGCCUGUGACGAAGCGUGAGUGAGGGUAAUGGGUAAAGAAGCACCGGCUAAUUCCGU
rnacentral:rRNA from 1 species